UGUCUACACCUCUGCGGGCAUCGUGC
rnacentral:sRNA from 1 species